rnacentral:rRNA from 1 species
AGAGUUUGAUCCUGGCUCAGGAUGAACGCUAGCGGCAGGCCUAAUACAUGCAAGUCGAACGGGAGGCCCCUCCGGGGGCCGAGAGUGGCGCACGGGUGCGUAACGCGUAUGCAACCAACCCCCGACAGUGGGAUAGCCGGUGGAAACGCCGGGUAACCCCCCAUAGCCCUGGUGGAGGGCAUCCUCCGCCAGGUAAAGCCGAGAGGCGGUCGGGGACGGGCAUGCGUCCCAUUAGCUGGUAGGCGGGGCGACGGCCCACCUAGGCGACGAUGGGUAGGGGAUCUGAGAGGACGGUCCCCCACACUGGUACUGAGACACGGACCAGACUCCUACGGGAGGCAGCAGUAAGGGAUAUUGGGCAAUGGGGGCUACCCUGACCCAGCCAUGCCGCGUGAGGGAAGACUGCCCUAUGGGUUGUAAACUUCUUUUGCAUGGGAAUAAAGUGAGCCACGUGUGGCUUUUUGUAUGUACCAUGCGAAUAAGCAUCGGCUAACUCCGUGCCAGCAGCCGCGGUAAUACGGAGGAUGCAAGCGUUAUCCGGAUUUAUUGGGUUUAAAGGGUGCGUAGGCGGCUUAGCAAGUCAGGGGUGAAAUACCGGGGCCUAACUCCGGAACUGCCUUUGAUACUGUGAGGCUUGAAUACUGUUGCCGUGGGAGGAAUGAGUAGUGUAGCGGUGAAAUGCAUAGAUAUUACACAGAACACCGAUUGCGAAGGCAUCUCACGAAGCAGGCAUUGACGCUGAGGCACGAAAGCGUGGGGAUCAAACAGGAUUGGAUACCCUGGUAGUCCACGCAGUAAACGAUGAUAACUAACCGUCGGCGAUACACAGUCGGUGGCCAAGCGAAAGCGAUAAGUUAUCCACCUGGGGAGUACGACCGCAAGGUUGAAACUCAAAGGAAUUGACGGGGGCCCGCACAAGCGGAGGAACAUGUGGUUUAAUUCGAUGAUACGCGAGGAACCUUACCCGGGCUCGAACGGCAAGUGAACGACACAGAGAUGUGAAGGCCCUUCGGGGCGCUUGUCGAGGUGCUGCAUGGUUGUCGUCAGCUCGCGCCGUGAGGUGUCGGCUCAAGUGCCAUAACGAGCGCAACCCUUGUCACUAGUUACCAACAGGCGAAGCUGGGGACUCUAGAGAGACUGCCACCGCAAGGUGAGAGGAAGGAGGGGAUGACGUCAAAUCAGCACGGCCCUUACGUCCGGGGCGACACACGUGUUACAAUGGUGACUACAGAGGGAAGCCACCCAGUGAUGGGGAGCGGAUCUCGAAAAGUCAUCUCAGUUCGGACUGGAGUCUGCAACCCGACUCCACGAAGCUGGAUUCGCUAGUAAUCGCGCAUCAGCCAUGGCGCGGUGAAUACGUUCCCGGGCCUUGCACACACCGCCCGUCA